rnacentral:lncRNA from 1 species
GAGUGUGCAACAAACUAAGCUGUGGUUCAACUGGUUAGGAGGUGGCUUCUUAUCCUAGAGGAGGGUAACCUGGGAAAAAAGGUUCAACAUUGGGGUUUGAACUCAGGUCUGUGGUUCAACUGGUUAGGAGGUGGCUUCUUAUCCUAGAGGAGGGUAACCUGGGAAAAAAGGUUCAACAUUGGGGUUUGAACUCAGGUCUCCAGGAAAAGAAGCCCACCUCCUAACCAGUUAAACCACAGCUU